UUUUUUUCCAGGUGUGAGUAAACAUUUGUGCAGUACUGAGGGUUGGUGUGUGUGUGUGUGAGUGCCACCUUCUUGUUGGUUCUUGUUACUACAGGCAGUACUUUUUCUGGUUUUGGUUGAUUUUUGUUCUGAUUGUGCCUUUUUCUGUUCACUGAUUAUAAAUGAUGUCACAGCCUUCUGGGUACAAGGCCUUGAAUUUGUUUCCCUGGCUGGUUGCAGUUAGGAUAGACAGAUCUGGGAGCCAUGGCUACAGCAGGGCUGUACGUCCUGAGUCUUGGUCUGGGGUGGGUGUGAGCUCAGGGGAGCCAAGAGACGACCACCAAUCUGGUUCUUUUCUUCUGGGUGUGUACCACUUUCUGGUUGUUUUUCAUUUCUGCCUGCUAGAAGGAGACAGUUAGAGCCACUUUCUGGUUGAUUUUUGUUUCUGCUCGAUAGAUAGGGAAGGUUUUAUUUGUGGUUUUUGUGUGUUAUAUCUGUGUUUCUCAUUACAGAUAGCCAUGUGCCUUUGCUACCACUCAUAUUUGAGAGGUGACUUCGACAAGAUGACUUUGACAAAGUGACUUUGACUUGACAGACAUAUUAACACGAAACAGGCUAUGUCUACCACAUUCUACAAGUUUCUUUCACCACGAAAGAGGCCAGGAAGCUGGCUUCUGGCCCCACAGGGGAGUCCUCCCAAUAUGCUUGUUUUCCCUGGACUCUCCCAGAUUGAGAUGUUAGCACAGUUGAAGGAUAACUUUUCAACUGUCCUACUGCCUGACCUUGAGCUCGAUUAAUGGGUCCCUGCAUGAUUUCUCGGAAGGAUGCAGAGGUAACAUGGUUCACCAAUGGCAACAGCCUCAUUCAGGAUGGACAGAGGUCCACCUCCAAAGCUCCACCAACUUUAGCCUGGAGAUUGGGCCCUAGUCAAGAGACACUGCCAGAGGUCACUAGAGCUUCACUGAAAGGGUCCCUGUGCUACAGAGUUGCAGUGUGGAUUCACCACACAUCCAUUUGCAGUUGAAGAAGAAAGACCCUGGCCAGCAGGAGGAGAAUUCAGCCUCAAGACUCCUUCCUGUCUCCCAUUAAUGGGCUCCUACCCAUGCCCCCACCGCAAAGAUAUUACUGUUACUGCUUUCAUGAAGGUUCAGAAAGUCCCAUGAUUGGUACUUCUAGUCACAAGAGAAAGGGGUGGGGGGAUGAGAUGCCAAAGCUUUUAAGUCCAGACUCCAUUUUAGGGAAGCUGACCUGAGUUUGAACCCAGGUGAACUAACAGGAUGGUACCUAGCAUUAGUUUCCAAGUUGCUCCCCCCCCAGCCCCCCCCCCCCCCCCGCAACAAAACCUGAGCCUAGCUCCAGUCUCUAUGUUAAUCCCCACAAAAGCAGAGUUUACCAGUGUCUCUAGGUUAUUCCUCCAACAAACCUGCAUUCCAAGUUACAAGCCCACCCCUUGCCUAAUGACCACCAAUUCAGAGGGGAGCAGAAGUUAAGUUUAUAUGACUCUCAGCACCAGUCAAUUGUAUUAGAGGCCACAAUAGCUUUCCAAUUAGAUGCUUGUACACGUACUUCCUGCUUGCUACUUACUAUAAAGCCUUGCCCCAUAGGCAUUCGGGGCUCCCCCACCACCAAAACCAUCCUGUGUGAUGGUGGUGCAUUGGGGGUGGGGGUGUAGGAGAGCUAGCUGGAAUAGAAUAAAGACCCUGCUGUGAAUUGCAUCAGAUUGGCUCCUGUGUGUGUUUCUGGAGAUCACUAACAUUUCCCUUAUAUAACAUAAGCUCUUUGGGUAGACCCCAGGCUUAAGUUCCCAAAGCUACUGCUGCUAAGGAAACCCUGUUUUGUAAAGAUUGAGAGUUACUACAAUAAAGCUUUUCUAACAGAACCUAGUCCCCCAAAAAGUGUUUAAUCAACGUUAUUCUAUUCUCCAGAGCUGUGAGCAUGAGC
rnacentral:lncRNA from 1 species